rnacentral:rRNA from 1 species
UACGGAGGGUGCGAGCGUUGUCCGGAAUCACUGGGCGUAAAGGGCGCGUAGGCGGCGCGGGGAGUCAACGGUGAAAGCUCGGCGCUCAACGCCGAGUCGGCCGUCGAUACUCCCGUGCUUGAGCACUGUAGAGGCAGGUGGAAUUCCGGGUGUAGCGGUGGAAUGCGUAGAGAUCCGGAAGAACACCGGUGGCGAAGGCGGCCUGCUGGGCAGUAGCUGACGCUGAGGCGCGACAGCGUGGGGGAGCA